CAGCCGCCGCGGGAAUACGUAGGGUGCAAGCGUUAAUCGGAAUUACUGGGCGUAAAGCGUGCGCAGGCGGUUAUAUAAGACAGAUGUGAAAUCCCCGGGCUCAACCUGGGAACUGCAUUUGUGACUGUAUAGCUAGAGUACGGCAGAGGGGGAUGGAAUUCCGCGUGUAGCAGUGAAAUGCGUAGAUAUGCGGAGGAACACCGAUGGCGAAGGCAAUCCCCUGGGCCUGUACUGACGCUCAUGCACGAAAGCGUGGGGAGCAAACAGGAUUAGAGACCCCUGUAGUCCCUGUCUCUUAUAC
rnacentral:rRNA from 1 species